CUCUGUCUCCUUCCUGCCCUGAAAAUCCCAGCAGCUGGAUAUUUAGAGGAGGGAGGUUCCAGAGGUACUCCUCUGUGGAUGCCAGCCUGGUCAGGGAGAGAGAAACAGCAAUAGUUUCUCACAGUGGCUUGUAAGAAUUUUAGGGUGUUGUAGGAAUGUGAUAACUUGUUAGCAUAAACAAUCUGCAGGUGGUGUUUUUCCACUUUGUUUUCUGGUUCUUCUCAAGGACGGUGUGUGAGAAAGAUGUUUUUUAUUAACUAGCCAAUCAAGUAGAAUGUAUCAUAUCGCUCUCUAUAAACCAGAGAACCCUUUGUAAUAAAGCUUCCUUUUCUCCUCUUGCAACUGGGUCUCUCUUGGGUCUCUAUUCUUGUGUCAUUCUUGGCUCAAGGGUGACCCUCCUCUACAUUCCUAUCUAGGUUACCAUAGUGCUGAAGAAACUCCCCUGUGUGACCAUUCCAGAGACAAGGGUUGCUCCAGCGAGCUGCCAGGUGCCCUGUUUCAUUCCCCACCCAUACCACUCUCACCCAGUCAGAGCAGGUUUCUGUACCCAUUCCAUCCUGAGGUUCCAUCAGCAGAGUUGCAGAUGUCUCAUUCCAUAAAGAGCCACCAGCUCCUUCUGCAGCUCUCAGUGUUGUCCUGGUUUAAAAGAGGUGUCUGCCAAGGAAGGCGGGAACCUCCUUCGGAAUGGAAAAUGUGACCUCCUUCCCUCUAAAUUAUAACUUUGAAAUUACCGGGUUUUCAGGCAAAGAUAUGAGAACAGGAAUAACAGUUCAUUACUAGUAUGUAGAGGAGUACCUCUAAAAAGCAAACAAAGAACAACAAUGGCAGUACAACAAACAGAACAGAAACAGAAACCCAGUCCCAGCUGCCUCUCAACCCCAGGAAGAAGUCAGUCUCAGUGCCACUCGGAAAGCUGAAUGGACUGCAGCAGGAACUUUGUAGUAGCAGACUGGAACAGCAGAGGCAGGCCCAUCCCGGAGUGACAAACAAAGUGUAGCAAAGAUUCCAGAGCCGUGCUAGAAGCCGCAGAAUGUUUGGGCAGGCAUGGAGUGUCAGGUCAAUGUGUAAUAAAAAAGCCUAAAUCAUUGUCAUAAAA